UUGAACGCUGGCGGCAGGCCUAACACAUGCAAGUCGAACGGUAACAGGAAGAAGCUUGCUUCUUUGCUGACGAGUGGCGGACGGGUGAGUAAUGUCUGGGAAACUGCCUGAUGGAGGGGGAUAACUACUGGAAACGGUAGCUAAUACCGCAUAACGUCGCAAGACCAAAGAGGGGGACCUUCGGGCCUCUUGCCAUCGGAUGUGCCCAGAUGGGAUUAGCUAGUAGGUGGGGUAACGGCUCACCUAGGCGACGAUCCCUAGCUGGUCUGAGAGGAUGACCAGCCACACUGGAACUGAGACACGGUCCAGACUCCUACGGGAGGCAGCAGUGGGGAAUAUUGCACAAUGGGCGCAAGCCUGAUGCAGCCAUGCCGCGUGUAUGAAGAAGGCCUUCGGGUUGUAAAGUACUUUCAGCGGGGAGGAAGGGAGUAAAGUUAAUACCUUUGCUCAUUGACGUUACCCGCAGAAGAAGCACCGGCUAACUCCGUGCCAGCAGCCGCGGUAAUACGGAGGGUGCAAGCGUUAAUCGGAAUUACUGGGCGUAAAGCGCACGCAGGCGGUUUGUUAAGUCAGAUGUGAAAUCCCCGGGCUCAACCUGGGAACUGCAUCUGAUACUGGCAAGCUUGAGUCUCGUAGAGGGGGGUAGAAUUCCAGGUGUAGCGGUGAAAUGCGUAGAGAUCUGGAGGAAUACCGGUGGCGAAGGCGGCCCCCUGGACGAAGACUGACGCUCAGGUGCGAAAGCGUGGGGAGCAAACAGGAUUAGAUACCCUGGUAGUCCACGCCGUAAACGAUGUCGACUUGGAGGUUGUGCCCUUGAGGCGUGGCUUCCGGAGCUAACGCGUUAAGUCGACCGCCUGGGGAGUACGGCCGCAAGGUUAAAACUCAAAUGAAUUGACGGGGGCCCGCACAAGCGGUGGAGCAUGUGGUUUAAUUCGAUGCAACGCGAAGAACCUUACCUGGUCUUGACAUCCACGGAAGUUUUCAGAGAUGAGAAUGUGCCUUCGGGAACCGUGAGACAGGUGCUGCAUGGCUGUCGUCAGCUCGUGUUGUGAAAUGUUGGGUUAAGUCCCGCAACGAGCGCAACCCUUAUCCUUUGUUGCCAGCGGUCCGGCCGGGAACUCAAAGGAGACUGCCAGUGAUAAACUGGAGGAAGGUGAGGAUGACGUCAAGUCAUCAUGGCCCUUACGACCAGGGCUACACACGUGCUACAAUGGCGCAUACAAAGAGAAGCGACCUCGCGAGAGCAAGCGGACCUCAUAAAGUGCGUCGUAGUCCGGAUUGGAGUCUGCAACUCGACUCCAUGAAGUCGGAAUCGCUAGUAAUCGUGGAUCAGAAUGCCACGGUGAAUACGUUCCCGGGCCUUGUACACACCGCCCGUCACACCAUGGGAGUGGGUUGCAAUAGAAGUAGGUAGCUUAACCUUCGGGAGGGCGCUUACCACUUUGUGAUUCAUGACUGGGGUG
rnacentral:rRNA from 1 species